GACAGAGGGGGCAAGCGUUGCUCGGAAUCACUGGGCGUAAAGGGUGCGUAGGCGGCGCGGUAAGUCGGGUGUGAAAUCUCGGAGCUUAACUCCGAAACUGCAUUCGAUACUGCCGUGCUUGAGGACUGGAGAGGAGACUGGAAUUUACGGUGUAGCGGUGAAAUGCGUAGAUAUCGUAAGGAAGACCAGUGGCGAAGGCGGGUCUCUGGACAGUUCCUGACGCUGAGGCACGAAGGCCAGGGGGAGCAAACGGG
rnacentral:rRNA from 1 species